UACGGAGGGAGCUAGCGUUAUUCGGAAUUACUGGGCGUAAAGCGCACGUAGGCGGCUUUGUAAGUUAGAGGUGAAAGCCUGGAGCUCAACUCCAGAAUUGCCUUUAAGACUGCAUCGCUUGAAUCAGGAGAGGUGAGGUGGAAUUCCGAGUGUAGAGGUGAAAUUCGUAGAUAUUCGGAAGAACACCCGUGGCGAAGGCGGCUCUCUGGGACGGUACUGGACGCUGAGACGCGAAAAGCGGUGGGGAGCGAACGAGG
rnacentral:rRNA from 1 species